UACGUAGGGUGCAAGCGUUGUCCGGAAUUAUUGGGCGUAAAGAGCUCGUAGGCGGUCUGUCGCGUCGGCUGUGAAAACCCGGGGCUCAACCCCGGGCCUGCAUUCGAUACGGGCAGACUAGAGUUCGGUAGGGGAGACUGGAAUUCCUGGUGUAGCGGUGAAAUGCGCAGAUAUCAGGAGGAACACCGGUGGCGAAGGCGGGUCUCUGGGCCGAUACUGACGCUGAGGAGCGAAAGCGUGGGGAGCAAACAGG
rnacentral:rRNA from 1 species